GGAUACAAAAACUACCUGACUCAGUAGGUUUGCUCUAUAACUUGCUAAUAUUGAGGUUGAAUGGUUGUUCAAAUUUGAAGGAAUUGCCUUCAAGUUUGCAUAAACUCACCAAAUUGCGUUGCCUAGAAUUUGAACGUACAGGGGUGACAAAGAUGCCAAUGCAUUUUGCAGAAUUGAAGAAUCUUCAUGUACUGAAUAUGUUUUGUGUCGGUAGAAACAGUGAGUUCAGUACUAAGCAGCUAGGAGGAAUCAACCUUCAUGGAAGGCUAUCAAUUAAUGAGCUGCAAAAUAUUGUGAAUCCUUCGGAUGCAUUAGAAGCAAAUUUGAAAAAUAAACACGUUGUGGAGCUAAAUUUAAUAUGGAAUUCGAAUCACAUCCCUAAUGAUCCAAGGAAAGAGAAGAAAGUGCUUGAGAAUCUACAACCUUCUAAUCAGUUGGAGCGUUUUUCAAUCAGGAGCUAUUGUGGUACACAAUUCCCAAGUUGGGUAUUUGAUAAUUCGUUAUCAAAUUUGGUAUCCUUAGAGUUAAAGGAUUGUAAAUAUUGCCUAUGUUUGCCUCCCCUUGGACUAUUGUCAUCUCUGAAGACCCUCGAGAUUACAGGACUUGAUGGAAUAGUGAGCAUUGGUGCUGAAUUUUAUGGGAGCAACUCUUCUUCAUUCAAGUGCUUGGAAAGAUUGCUAUUCUUCAAGAUGAAGGAAUGGGAAGAAUGGGAAUGUAAAACUACUUCUUUUCCACGUCUUGAACAACUUGUUAUCCAUGAUUGUCCCAAGUUGGAAGGUUUGUCAGAGCAACUUCUUCAUUUAAAGGACCUAUCUAUUGAGACAUGUGAUAGCCUCAUCAUCAGGGAACACAACGUAGACACAUCAACACUUGAAUGUUUGAAAACUUACUCAUGCCCACUUGUGAAUAUUCCCAUGACCCAUUAUGAUUUCCUUCAAGAUAUGACAAUUGUUGGUGGUUGUGACUCUCUUACAAUCUUUCAGCUAGAUUUAUUUCCAAUGCUCGGUUCACUUCAUCUGGGACGAUGCCAAAACCUACAAAGAAUUUCACAAGUGCAUGCUCAUAAUAAUCUCAAGGAAAUGUCAAUCUAUGAAUGUCCUCGAUUUGAAUCAUUUCCCAAUGAAGGAUUAUCUGCACCAUUGGUACAAAUAAUUGACAUUAGGCAAGUGGAGAAUUUAAUGUUGUUGCCAAAACGCAUGCAAAUCCUGCUUUCAUCUCUUACUGAACUGAAGAUAAUUGAUUGUCCAAAAGUGGAGAAGUUUCCAGACGAAGGUUUGCCAUCAAAGGUAAAAGACAUGUCUCUUUCAAGUUUAAAACUUAUCGCCUCUCUGCGAGAGAACUUGGAUGUCAACACAUGUCUUGAAAGCUUAUCUAUUGAAUCUCUUGAUGUGGAGUCUUUUCCUGACAAUGUUUUGCUGCCACCUUCUCUUACCUCUUUAAGAAUCAUUCAUUGCCAAAAUCUCAAAAAGCUAGACUACAAGCUUCUCUAUCACCUCUCCUCUCUCGAACUUGGUGAUUGUCCUAACCUCCAAUGCUUACCUGAGGAGGGUUUGCCCAAAUCCAUCUCUUAUCUUGACAUUUGGCGCUGUCCAUUGCUCGAGCAGCGUUGUCAGAAGCCAGAAGGCAAAGAUUGGAUAAAGAUUGCUCACAUUGAAAAUCUAAGUGUUGGGUAAUAAGAUGGAAAAAAAAGUUCAAAAUUAGAUGUUCAUCUGCUAACAGCUUCCUCUCACACCUAAUUGCAUGGCUUCGACAAACUCUUUCUUGUUUUUAGUUGUUUUUUCUAUUAAAGUGGAAUCAGAUCUCUUAUUUUGGAAUUUUAUUUAUUUGUUUGAAUAAUGAAAAAAAAUAAAAGAUGGAUUUUUUAUAUAUUACAAAUCAUUAUUCGUGGAAUGAUAAGAUGAAAGACCGGUUGGUUUGAAGAAAUUGCAUAGUUGGUCUUUUAUUUAUAAAUUCAUAUAUAGAAAAUAUUUAUUUAGAGUCAAGAAUUUUUUUUUCAUUUUACUAAAUUCGUAAACUUAAACUUAUUUAUAUCUUUUACUUUUAAAUUUUUAUUCAUUCUUGUUUUUUUAUCUUCUAACUCCUUUUCACGUUGCAAGUGAUUAUACACAUUAAGGAUCAUUAGUUGUUUCUUUAAAAUAUAAAUUGGUUUUAAAAAAACUUCUAUAAGAAUAAGACACAAAAGAUUAAAGAAUUUUAUAUGAUUAACUCGUGAAGUAUAACGACAUAAUUAACUCAUAUUGGACUUGGUCACUCUACAGAACUUUUGGAAUGAUUUGUAUACAUUACAUGAAUCAUAUAAGAAGCUUUUAGCCUACAUGUACUUCAAUAUUUUUUCUCAAUCAUCAUGUCCUUUUAUUACAACUUUUUCUUAAUUUAUGGUAUAGUGUAAAAAUAAUAUCAAUAUUUAUUUAAAAAUAAAAUUUUAUUUCAUUCUUUAAUAAAUAAUUUAGUGACCUUUGUUUAAUGUUGUAAACGUUAAUAUUACUAACAUUUUUACAAUAAAGUAACAUUUCAAUUAUGUUACUUUUAUAAAAUAAACAUUACUAAAGACUUCUAAUGUUGUUUUUAUUAAAAAAAUUUACUAAAUUAUAAGAGCCAUAAAAGAAAAGGUUCAAUUAUGGAUUUUCUGCAAUUUCUUUGCAUGAUAAAAAUUAUAAGAAGUUUUCCUUUCUGCAAAAUCACAUGUAAAGGUAAAGAUUCUCAGAAUGUGUAUGUGCUUUUGUUUUUAGGAUGAAAGAUUGAGGGGAAGAAUUAAAGCCUUUUAUGUUUGGAAGAAUAUUGACCGAAAAAGGAUAAUAGUUAAGGUAAACAAAAUAUACCAACUAUGUAAGAGAAUCAUGUUUACCACAGGGGUCAUCCAACUCAAUUAGUUGAGUAGUAUAUUCAAUUCCUCUGAAUAAAAGAAUCAUGUUUAACUCUUAAUAAGAGAAAAUUCUACAUUAAAAACUGAAACUAGUAUGAUGCAAGGCUGAAAACUGAAUGCACAUGAUCUUGUUUUGGCUUUUUCAAUUCAGAAUGAAGAAGAUGAAUUNAAUGCAUUCUAAUGAAAAUGAAAUUGGGCAGAAACAGGUUGAAUGUCUGUGGAUUCAGCAGGUUCUGAGUAAGCCUUCAAUUAGCAGCAACAAUGAUUGCUCAAACUACUCAACUCCAAUUCUAUGCACCACUGUUGUUGUUGUCAAUCUCUUUAUUCAACUCCAAAUAUUCUUCUCAGUUGCAUCUCUUUUUUUUUUUUUUUUUCUUUCUUUCUUUCUGAGAAUCCUAAAAUCAAACAAUAUAAAAUUCUAACAAAGAAUGCCAAAUUAACAAAGAUUUAGAAAAACUACUAUUCAUUGAAGGAAAACCAAAUAUUAAUCUAGAGCAAAUAUGAACAAAUAUGAAGGAAAACCUGGUUUAUAUUGGAUGGAACCCGACACAGAACUGUGUAAAUAUUGGAAAUCCAAGUAUGAGUCUAAGUUCCACAUUGGAUAGAAAAGAGAAAGUAUAACACUAUAUACUCAUUAAUCCAUUGUCUUAAGGUUUUGGAUAAAGAAUGAUGUUAAUUCCUUAUAUGAUUGAGUUCAGAUCUUGCACUAGAUGAGUUUUACUAAAUGAUUUGUUAAUUGACCAUAAUAUAAUUCUUUUUUCAAAUCAAACAUUUUUCUAACUUGUCUUUUUGCUAUUGUUAUUUGUUAAAUCAAUAUGUCUGAACAAUAAUCUAUGUUUAAUUUGUUUAAUAUCUCACAUUUUUAAUCUAAAUAUGCAGCUUGCAUCGCCAUCUAAUUGGAAAAAUCUCAAUGAAACAAUAUGAUUAAACUAUAAAAUUAUCAGAGAUUUGUUUGAUCUCCCACGCUUUAAUCUAAAUUGUGAGGGAGCAGAAGAUACUGGGAUUCUAAGCUGGACACUAAAUAGAGUUCGUAAUUCUUUAGGGAUAUUGUUCUUGACACUUGAUAAAAGCUUUCAGAAGUAAUGGUAAGCGGUUAUGCAUGUAUUUUAACCCUAUUUCUUUUUCAAAGCCUAUUUGUUUGUACCAUAUAAAUAUGAAGGGUUUGAAAUUAUGACUCCUACAUCAGAGAGGGAAAUUGAAUUAAAGGGAGUUGUGAAAUGUAGAUACUUUUAGACUUCUUUUCUUAGAACUUGAAGCUGUAUUUGUUUUCAUGCUGUAUUUGAAACAGAUUGUUCUGCAGCUUUCCCCCUCAAAGCAUGGCAAUCUAUGUUAAUAUACUUUGUUCUUUCAUGAAAACUCAGAUUAAAAGCAAUAUGCUUGCUGCUUUAUUAUCACAGUAAAGGUUGGUCACAUCAGUAGAGAUUUGUAGAUCAUGCAAAGGAUAUGAUAACCUUUAUUUGGUUUCUCAUUAAAUGCAUCAAUAUAAGCAUGCACUCUGUAGGAUUUCUUAUGGUAAUAUCCAAUGAGUGUCUAUUUAUUCCUUUUAUUGGGAUUGAUUUUAAAUUAGUGAUCCCUUUCUUUAUCCAGGAGUGGAAGAGACCCUCCAUAGUGAUCUUCUCAACAACUUUUGUAAAUAUUGAACCAAAACAUCUAAAGAGAUGGUAAAGUCUAUUUCUACCAGUGUACCAAAAUGAUAAAAAUGAUAGAUUUCUGGUGUCAUUUCGUCAUUUACUGAGCACAUGUAUGCAUUCUGCAUGUAUUUUGUUUUCAGUUUUAUAAAAUACCGAAAAUAAUGUAAAAAUAUAUAUUUUCAUACAUAACGCUAGAGUGUUGAAAUCAAAUUCGAACCAUGUCUUUGAUGAUCCAGGAAAAGAAAAUAAAAUACUUGAGAAUCUUCAAACCUUCUACACAAUUGGAAGGUUUAUCAAUCGAUAACUAUGGUGGUACACAAUUCUCAAGUUGGGUAUUCGAUAAUUCAUUAUCAAAUUUGGUGUCCUUAUGGUUAGCUGACUGUAAAUAUUGCCUAUGUUUGUCUCCCUUUGGACUUUUGUCAUCUCUAAGGAUCCUACAUAUUAUAGGGUUUGAUGGAAUAGUGAGCAUUGGUGCUGAAUCUCUCCUUCAUUCAAGUUAUUGAAAAUAUUGGAAUUCUCCAACAUGAAGGAAUGGGAAGAAUGGAAAUGUAAAACUACUUCUUUUAAACGUCUUCAUCAUCUUUGUAUCCGGAAAUAUCCGAAUCUGAAAAGUGUGCCAGAGCAACUUUUGCAUUCAAAGGAACUAACUAUUGAUUCCUGUGAUGAGCUUAUCAAUAGUGAAAACAGUAUAAAAUUUAUCCAUGUCCUGCUUAAUGUAUAUAAGGGUAAUGAACAUGUGUAAAAAAUAUAACACAACUAUCCACUUAUUUAUUCGUUGAUUUCAACUUAUUUUUUAUGUUUAGUUUGAUAAUUUUUUUUAAACAACGAGCAUAUUGAGUAUAUUAAUGUAGUUUGUGUUUACAAUUACUGUAAAUGACCUUCAUUGUAGAUAACAACUGUAUCCAAAUAAUGUAAACCAAGUCAGAUGUCACUGCUAUUUUUUAUUUGUCAGACAUCCAUUCAUGCAUUACAGCUGUGUAAACAUUUUUAUAUUAUAAAGACACAACCUUCUUUCCAUCGGGAUUUCAGACUUUCAUUCAUCACAACCGUUGAAUGAAUAUCGAACUGCUCACAUUUUAUAAUGAUGAAUAAAACUUAUCGAAUGUUUGAACCGUCCAAUCCUAAUCUAACGAGAAUUGGGAACAAAGCUGAGAAAAUUUGUGAUCAAAGAAUUACAGUCGUAAACUUCGAUUUCACAUUACACACUUCCAUUCAGCAUCCACUCCAAUCCAACUCUUACCAUGGCAGCAGAACUUGUUGGUGGUGCUCUUCUUUCCGCUUUUCUUCAGGUUGCAUUCGACAAGCUGACUUCUCCUCAAUUUGUUGACUUCUUUCGUGGAAGAAAACUUGAUGAGAAGCUGCUCGGCAACUUGAACAUCAUGCUGCACUCCAUCAAUGCUCUCGCUUAUGAUGCAGAACAGAAGCAGUUUACAGAUCCACACGUUAAAGCAUGGCUUUUUUCUGUCAAAGAGGCUGUCUUUGAUGCAGAGGAUCUCUUGGCUGAAAUAGAUUAUGAACUCACCAGAUCCCAAGUGGAAGCUGAAUCCGAACCUCAAACCUUUACUUACAAGGUAUCAAAUUUCUUCAACUCUACUUUUAGUUCGUUUAACAAGAAAACUGAAUCAGAGAUGAAAGAAAUCUUAGAAAAACUAGAAUAUCUUGCAAAGCAAAAGGGUGCUCUUGGUUUGAAAGAGGGUACUUAUUCUGGUGAUAGAUCAGGUAGUAAAGUGUCACAGAAAUUGCCAUCAUCUUCUUUGGUGGUUGAAAGUGUUAUUUAUGGCAGAGAUGCUGACAAAGAAAUUAUCUUUAAUUGGCUUACAUCUGAGACCGACAAUCAUAACCAUCUAUCCAUACUUUCCAUAGUAGGAAUGGGUGGGUUGGGUAAGACAACACUCGCCCAGCAUGUAUACAAUGACUCAAAAAUGGAGGCUAAAUUUGAUAUAAGAGCUUGGGUGUGUGUUUCCGAUCAUUUUGAUGUUUUGACAGUGACAAAAACAAUUCUUGAGGCAAUCACGAAAUCUAAAGAUGAUAGCAGAGAACUAGAGAUGGUUCAUGGAAGAUUGAAAGGAGAAGUAUCAGGAAAGAAAUUUCUUCUUGUUUUGGAUGAUGUUUGGAACGAAAGACAAGAAGAAUGGGAAGCUGUGCGUACUCCUCUUAGCUAUGGGGCUCCAGGAAGUAGAAUUCUUGUCACAACACGUGCUGAGAGAGUUGCUUCUAACAUGAGAUCUGAAGUGCAUCGUCUAAAGCAAUUAGAAGAGGAUGAAUGCUGGAAAGUUUUCAUAAAACAUGCACUAAAAGGUGAUGAUCUAAAAUUGAACGAUGAGCAAAAGGAGAUCGGAAGAAGGAUAGUUGAGAAAUGCAAAGGAUUACCUCUGGCUUUGAAAACCAUUGGAAGUCUUUUGCACACAAAGUCAUCCAUUUCAGAUUGGAAAAGUGUAUUGGAAAGCGACAUAUGGGAGUUACCGAAAAAAGUUAAAAUUAUCCCUGCUUUACUAUUGAGUUAUCAACACCUUCCUUCUCACCUAAAGAAGUGUUUUGCUUAUUGUGCGUUAUUUCCAAAAGAUUAUGAGUUUGUGAAGAAGGAAUUAAUUUUGUUGUGGAUGGCUGAAGGUUUUCUCCAUCAUUCUCAUGAGAACAAGAAUGUAGAAGAAAUUGGUGAACAGUAUUUCGAUGAUUUAUUAACGAGGUCUUUCUUUCUUCAAUCAACCGUCAUAAAGAAAUUCGUCAUGCAUGACCUUCUUAAUGAUUUGGCAAAAUAUGUUUGUGGAGACUUUUGUUUCAGGUUUAAAUUUGAUAAAGGAAAUAGUAUACCCAAAACAACUCGUCAUUUUUCAUUUGCAUAUGCUGAUUUUUCAUUUGCAUCCGCUGAUGUAAGAUUUUUUGAUGGUUUUGGGAGUUUAAAAAGACUGCGUUCAUUUGUUCAGAUUACAAAUAACGUUAGAGGUCCCGGUAUUCCUUAUCUAUUCGAGAGUAUACAUGAAUUGUUCUCCAAGUUGAAGUUUUUACGUGUCUUAUGUUUGAGUGGAUAUAAUGACAUGAAAGAGGUCCCUAAUUCUGUUGGUGAUCUUAAACACCUCCAUUCAUUGGACCUUUCUUAUACUUGUAUACAAAACCUACCCGACUCAGUAGGUUUACUCUAUAACUUGCUGAUAUUGAGGUUGAAUGGUUGUUUUUAUUUUAAGGAAUUGCCUUCAACUUUGCAUAAACUCACCAAAUUGCGUUGCCUGGAAUUUGAAGGUACACAAGUGACAAAAAUGCCAAUGCAUUUUGGAGAGUUGAAGAAUCUUCAAGUACUGAGUACGUUUUGUGUUAAUAGAAAUAAUGAGGUCACCAGUAUUAAGGAACUAGGAGGACUCAAUCUUCAUGGAAGGCUAUCAAUUAAUGAGGUGCAAAAUAUUGUGAAUCCUUUGGAUGCAUUAGAAGCAAAUUUGAAAAAUAAACACCUUAUGGAGCUAAAUUUAAUAUGGCAUCGGAAUCAAAUCCCCGAUGAUCCAAGGAAAGAGAAGAAAGUGCUUGAGAAUCUACAACCUUCUAAUCAGUUGGAGCAUCUUUCAAUCAGGAGCUAUUGUGGUACACAAUUCCCAAGUUGGAUAUUCGAUAAUUCCUUAUCAAAUUUGGUAUCCUUAGAGUUAGAGAAUUGUAAAUAUUGCUUAUGUUUGCCUCCCCUUGGACUAUUGUCAUCUCUGAAGACCCUCAAGAUUACAGGACUUGAUGGAAUAGUGAGUAUUGGUGCUGAAUUUUAUGGGAGCAACUCUUCUUCAUUCAAGUCCUUGGAAAGGUUGGAAUUCUACUGCAUGAAGGAAUGGGAAGAAUGGGAAUGUAAAACUACUUCUUUUCCACUUCUUCGGCAGGUUGGUAUUGUUCAAUGUCCCAAACUGAAAAGUCUGCCAGAGCAACUUCUUCAUUUAAAGGACCUAUCUAUUCAGUCAUGUGAUAUCCUCAUCAUUAGCGAACACAGCGUAGUCACAUCAACUCUUGAAGUCUUGCAAACUUAUUCAUGCCCACUUGUGAAUAUUCACAUGACCCAUUAUGAUUUCAUUGAAGUACUGAUAAUUAAUGGUGGUUGUGAUUCUCUUACAAUCUUUCAGCUAAAUUUCUUUCCAAUGCUUCGUCUUCUUUAUCUACAUGGAUGCCAAAACCUACAAAGAAUAUCACAAGAGCACGUUCAUAAUCAUCUCUUUGAAAUGUCAAUCUAUGAAUGUCCUCUGUUUGAAUCAUUUCCCAAUGAAGGAUUAUCUGCACCAUUGGUACAAAUAAUUAAAAUUGGAAGAGCGGGGAAUUUGAAGUUGUUGCCAAAAAACAUGCAAAUCCUACUUCCAUCUCUCACUGAACUGGAGAUAAUUGAUUGUCCAAAAGUGGAAAAGUUCCCAGAUGGAGGUUUGCCACCAAACGUAAAAGACAUGUCUCUUUCAAGUUUAAAACUUACCGCCUCCCUGCGAGAGAACUUGGAUGUCAACACAUGUCUUGAAAGCUUAUAUAUUAAAUAUCUUGAUGUGGAGUCUUUUGCCGAUGAAGUUUUGCUGCCACCUUCUGUUACAUCUUUAACAAUCUAUGGUUGUCGAAAUCUGAAAAAGCUAGACUACAAACUUCUCUAUAACCUCUCCUCUCUCACACUUUUUGAUUGCGGUAACCUCCAAUUCUUACCUGAGGAGGGCCUGCCUAAAUCCAUCUCCUCUCUUUGCAUUUUGGACUGUCCAUUGCUCAAGCAACGAUGUCAGAAGCCAGAAGGCAAAGACUGGAGAAAGAUUGCUCACAUUGAAAAUCUGAGAGUUUGAUAAUAAGAUUAAGCAGAAGUUCAAAAUUAGAUGUGCACCUAAUUCUUCUCAUAUUCUAAUUGCAUGCCUUCGGCAAACUCUUCCUUGUUUUGACGUUUUUUUCUAUUAGAGUGGCA
rnacentral:lncRNA from 1 species